rnacentral:rRNA from 1 species
AUUGAACGCUGGCGGAAUGCUUUACACAUGCAAGUCGAACGGCAGCACGGGUGCUUGCACCUGGUGGCGAGUGGCGAACGGGUGAGUAAUAUAUCGGAACGUAUCCAAUAAUGGGGGGAUAACGAGUCGAAAGAUUCGCUAAUACCGCAUACGCCCUACGGGGAAAGGCUGGGGAGUCUUCGGACCUAGCGUUAAUGGAGCGGCCGAUAUCUGAUUAGCUAGUUGGGGGGUAAAGGCCCACCAAGGCUACGAUCAGUAGCUGGUCUGAGAGGACGACCAGCCACACUGGAACUGAGACACGGUCCAGACUCCUAC